rnacentral:rRNA from 1 species
AGAGUUUGAUUAUGGCUCAGGAUGAACGCUGGCGGCGUGCCUAACACAUGCAAGUCGAGCGAUCUCUUCGGAAGAGAGCGGCGGACGGGUGAGUAACGCGUGGGUAACCUGCCCUGUACACACGGAUAACAUACCGAAAGGUAUGCUAAUACGGGAUAACAUACUUUUAUCGCAUGGUAGAAGUAUCAAAGCUCCGGCGGUACAGGAUGGACCCGCGUCUGAUUAGCUAGUUGGUAAGGUAACGGCUUACCAAGGCGACGAUCAGUAGCCGACCUGAGAGGGUGAUCGGCCACAUUGGAACUGAGACACGGUCCAAACUCCUACGGGAGGCAGCAGUGGGGAAUAUUGCACAAUGGGCGAAAGCCUGAUGCAGCAACGCCGCGUGAGCGAUGAAGGCCUUCGGGUCGUAAAGCUCUGUCCUCAAGGAAGAUAAUGACGGUACUUGAGGAGGAAGCCCCGGCUAACUACGUGCCAGCCGCCGC